CUCAGGAGACCUCCCUGCUCCCAUAGCAAGCCCCCGCAUCAGCCAAUCGACUAGAGGAGGUCGUCUUCCUCGCCUACCGCAGCCUCGGCCAUCGUCGUCGCCCCGGUAAGUUAGCCCAAGCCAAAGCCUCCCCACCCUCCCUUUGACCACCAGAAUCCUUCCCUUGACCCUGCGAAGCCAUUGCCCUCUUAGCUUGCAUUUGGAACGACCGCAGGCUGAAGCCCAUCUCUGCCCGUAGCUGCCAACCGCCGAAGAUCGUGGCGCUCAAGACCCUGUCCGCCUGUGCAUCCCUGACGACCACCGGAAGGACCGCUAGAUCCCCCUGGAUCCAUUCUCUCGCCCUAAUGCAUGAAAGCCGCCAUCGUUCGCUGGUGAGGAGCACCGAAGCUCCACCACGCUCGUCCAUGGGAAGGAGAUGACAUGGCUGACUAGUCAAACCUGACCAGUGGGCCAGGAGGACCCAUUUUUAGUAACCCCCACGCCACGGCGCACCCGCUAAAGUGAAAAUGUAUUCCACGCGGGUACGUUUUCUCUCCUCCAAAGGGUAUUCUCACUCAAGU
rnacentral:lncRNA from 1 species